CCUACGGGAGGCAGUAGUGGGGAAUAUUGCGCAAUGGGCGAAAGCCUGACGCAGCGACGCCGCGUGAGGGAUGAAGGUCUUCGGAUCGUAAACCUCUGUUAGCAGGGAAGAACGGUCACUGUGCUAAUCAGCAGUGAAUUGACGGUACCUGCAAAGGAAGCACCGGCUAACUCCGUGCCAGCAGCCGCGGUAAUACGGAGGGUGCGAGCGUUAAUCGGAUGUACUGGGCGUAAAGCGAGCGUAGGCGGUAUGUCAAGUCAAGGGUGAAAUCCCGGCGCUCAACGUGGGAACUGCCUUUGAAACUGGCAAUCUUGAGUGUGUGAGAGGAUAGUGGAAUUCCAGGUGUAGGAGUGAAAUCCGUAGAUAUCUGGAGGAACAUCAGUGGCGAAGGCGACUAUCUGGCACAUAACUGACGCUGAGGAGCGAAAGCGUGGGUAGCAAACAGGAUUAGAUACCCCUGUAGUC
rnacentral:rRNA from 1 species